ACUCCCUUGUGAAGAACUCGGUGGGAGAAGAAGGAAGAAAGGGAGCAGCCCCCUCCCCUGGUGGGGUAGAGGAGGAAUGCCCUUCUCGGUUCACGCUUGAGCCUUUUAUAGGCUGCAACUCCCCCUCGCUCCUCCUCCCUAUUUCACGUCGAGAUAAGGAUAAGGAUGCAGAGAGUAGGCAGAAGCUUGAUCCGAUCCGCAGAUGAAGGAAGAUUUCAGAAUCGGACGUGAAAGUCGGUGAACUGGGAGCUGGGAUUCGUUGGCUGAAGUCGGCUUGAUCCUUGGGUCCGUGGAUGAGGUGCUAGGAACGGAACUGGGAGCUGAUCCCUUGUCGAUGGAGGAGGCCAUGGAGAGGAUCUCGGACGGUUGCUGGCUUCCAG
rnacentral:lncRNA from 1 species